GAUGAACGCUGGCGGCGUGCUUAACACAUGCAAGUCGAACGGAAAGGCCCAAGCUUGCUUGGGUACUCGAGUGGCGAACGGGUGAGUAACACGUGGGUGAUCUGCCCUGCACUUCGGGAUAAGCCUGGGAAACUGGGUCUAAUACCGGAUAGGACCACUUGUUGGAUGGUGUGGUGGAAAGUUUUUUCGGUGUGGGAUGAGCUCGCGGGCUAUCAGCUUUUUGGGGGGGGAAUGGCCUACCAAGGCGUCGACGGGUAGCCGGCCUGAGAGGGUGUACGGCCACAUUGGGACCGAGAUACGGCCCAGACUCCUACGGGGGGCAGCAGGGGGGAAUUUUGCACCAUGGGCGCAAGCCUGAUGCAGCGACGCCGCGUGGGGGAUGACGGCCUUCGGGUUGUAAACUCCUUUCGCUAGGGACGAAGCGUUUUGUGACGGUACCUGGAGAAGAAGCACCGGCUAACUACGUG
rnacentral:rRNA from 1 species